ensembl:miRNA
GACCCACUAGAGGUGGGAGGUGGGGUGGGGAGGGAGAGCCUCAGCAGGAUGUCUCUCAGUACCCCCUCUUCCCUCAACAU